AAAAAGGCAAACCCUGGGUUUCCGUGUCCAACUUUGACUGUCCGUCUUAUAUGAAAUUUUUUUAUAAUUCGUAUUUUUAUUGUUGUUAGAUGAUAAAACAUGAUUAAUAUUUUACACGUGACUUGUCUUUUAAAAUUUUUUCAUAAUUUUUUCAAAUAAGACGGACGGUCAAACGUUGGGCACGGAAACCAGGGUUUGUCUUUUU
rfam:Oryza glumipatula chromosome 7, whole genome shotgun sequence.